UGCAGUCGAGCGCGCCUUCGGGUGAGCGGCGGACGGGUGAGUAACGCGUGGGAAUAUGCCCGGUACUAGGGAAUAGCCUCGGGAAACUGAGAGUAAUACCUUAUACGCCCUUCGGGGGAAAGAUUUAUCGGUAUCGGAUUAGCCCGCGUUGGAUUAGGUAGUUGGUGGGGUAACGGCCCACCAAGCCGACGAUCCAUAGCUGGUUUGAGAGGAUGAUCAGCCACACUGGGACUGAGACACGGCCCACACUCCUACGGGAGGCAGCAGUGGGGAAUCUUGGACAAUGGGGGCAACCCUGAUCCAGCCAUGCCGCGUGAGUGACGAAAGCCCUAGGGUCGUAAAGCUCUUUCAGCUGUGAAGAUAAUGACGGUAGCAGCAGAAGAAACCCCGGCUAACUCCGUGCCAGCAGCCGCGGUAAUACGGAGGGGGUUAGCGUUGUUCGGAAUUACUGGGCGUAAAGCGCGCGUAGGCGGACUGUUAAGUCAGAGGUGAAAUCCCGGGGCUCAACCCCGGAACUGCCUUUGAUACUGGCAGUCUCGAGUUCUGGAGAGGUGAGUGGAAUUCCGAGUGUAGAGGUGAAAUUCGUAGAUAUUCGGAGGAACACCAGUGGCGAAGGCGGCUCACUGGCCAGACACUGACGCUGAGGCGCGAAAGCGUGGGGAGCAAACAGAGAUUAGAUACCCUGGUAGUCCACGCCGUAAACGAUGAAUGCCAGACGUCGGGCAGCAUGCUGUUCGGUGUCACACCUAACGGAUUAAGCAUUCCGCCUGGGGAGUAC
rnacentral:rRNA from 1 species